CUCCUGGAGAGAGACACUUCCUUUACCGUCUGUCCAGAUGUCCCUAGAACUCCAGUGGGCAAAUUUCUUGGUGAUUCUGCAAACCUAAGCAUUUUGUCUGGUCACCUGGAUUCUUCAGGACUUCAGGAAGUGCAUUUAGCUGGGAGACAAUGGAAACUUGGUGGACAGUGAAAUGAAAUAUUUGGGCAGUCCCAUUACUACUGUUCCAAAAUUGGAUAAAAAUCCAAACCUAGGAGAAGACCAGGCAGAAGAGAUUUCAGAUGAAUUAAUGGAGUUUUCCCUGAAAGAUCAAGAAGCAAAGGUAAAGUGUUCUG
rnacentral:lncRNA from 1 species